AAAAACAACAGUGUUACCCCUUGUGAUUUUUUUCAUGACGACAAAUAAAAAAUAACAGCUUUACCCCUGCCGACGUUUUUACAGGGAUCCAAACCUGAGCAGUUUAGAGUGUUAACCUACAAACUUAUCAAUGCUCCAUCAAGACAGAGGAGAAAGUCAUCACAAUGGUUAUACUUGACUUUAUAAUUCGCAUGAAAUAGAGAUAAGAGUCUUCAAACAGAAGACAUCAACCGGACUUGAACCCCGGUCUCCAAGGGGUUAGCUCACAGCUCUCUCCACUCCCCACUGAGAUUUAUUAUUAAAUUAUGUCUCUGGUUAUAUAUGACACUAUAUUAUAUAUGCAAUAGACAUGAUAGCAUUACGUUUAAAAUUAAAGAUAUUGUGUUUUCCACAGAAAUUGUGCCGCGGUCUCCAGUGGGUUAGGCAGUGAGGCGAUGACAAUACACAAUAGUCAAUCAUCAAUAAAGAGGAUAUACAUGACAUUAAAAUGUAUGUGUGUAUUUCUAUUAUUUCUCUUAUGUUUUUUUUCAUGACGACCAAUAAAAAACGACAGUGUUACCCCUUAUGUUUUUUUUCAUGACGACCAAUAAAAAACGACAGUUUUACCCCUUGUGGUUAUUUCAUGACGACCAAAGAAAAACAAGUGUUACCCCUUAUAUUUUAUUUGACACAGACAACAGUGUUACCCUUUAUGUUUUUUUUCAUGACGACCAAUAAAAAACAACAGUCUUACCCCUUAUAUUUUAUUUGACAAAGACAACAGCGAUCCCCCUUAUGUUUUUUUUCAUGACGACCAAUAAAAAACAACAGUGUUACCCCUUAUGUUUUUUUUCAUGACGACCAAUAAAAAAACAACAGUUGUUACCCCUUGUGGUUUUUUUCAUGACGACCAAAGAAAAACAACAGUGUUACCCCCUAUGUUUUAUUUGAUAAAUAUCGACAGUGUUACCCCUCUCACCGCUGUGUAAUGGAUGGGUUUCAUCGUCUCUUUCGUCUUCCAAGGCUGCAAGAUCAGCCCAACAACAAGUACGCAGAUACAAAAGCUUGGUGCGGUUUAAUAUUUCUCCCAACUGGUGUCUGGUGACACAAUGCCGCACAAGCGAUCGUUGUGAGCAAGUAUCGCUAAAGUGUUUUAUUUUCCAUUGGGUCCCAUGCGUCAGAUCGCGGUCCUUUACGACACAUCAGUGAUGUUCUUUAUUGAGCAAUAUCGGAAGAUCAUUGAAUAUGAAUGAAUCAUCAAUAGAACAUGUCAGUUGGCUCAAUUACUUCUGUGUUUCCUAAUAAGCAACAAUGUUUUCCAAC
ensembl:lncRNA